GGGGAUUUAGUUUAGCGCCAUAAGCGCCUGCCUUGCAAGCAGGCAGUUAUGAAUUCAAUCCCUG
rnacentral:tRNA from 1 species